GCCGGGCAUGGUGGUGGGUGCCUGUAAUCCCAGCUACUUGGGAGGCUGAGGCAGGAGAAUCGCUUGAACCCAGGAGGCAGAGGUUGCAGUGAGCCAAGAUGGCACCACUGCACUCCAGCCUGGGUGACAAAGCGAGACUCUGUCUANN
rnacentral:SRP_RNA from 1 species